CGCUAGCUACAGGCUUAACACAUGCAAGUCGAGGGCAUCGGGGAGGCAGCAAUGCUUCUGCCGGCGACCGGCGAAUGGGUGAGUAACACGUAUCCAACCUGGCCCGCACUCGGGGACAGCCUUUCGAAAGAAAGAUUAAUACCCGAUGCGGCCGCGUUCCCACAUGGGAUUGCGGUCAAAGAUUCAUCGGUGCGGGAUGGGGAUGCGCCUGAUUAGGCAGUUGGCGGGGUAACGGCCCACCAAACCGACGAUCAGUAGGGGUUCUGAGGGGAAGGUCCCCCACAUUGGAACUGAGACACGGUCCAAACUCCUACGGGAGGCAGCAGUGAGGAAUAUUGGUCAAUGGGCGGAAGCCUGAACCAGCCAAGUAGCGUGCAGGACGACGGCCCUCUGGGUUGUAAACUGCUUUUGUGCGGGGGUAAAGUGACCCACGUGUGGGUUAUUGCAAGUACCGCACGAAUAAGCAUCGGCUAACUCCGUGCCAGCAGCCGCGGUAAUACGGAGGAUGCGAGCGUUAUCCGGAUUUAUUGGGUUUAAAGGGAGCGUAGGUGGCCGGUUAAGUCAGUUGUGAAAAGCAGGUGCUCAACAUCUGCCUUGCAGUUGAAACUGUCCGGCUUGAGCGUGUGAGAGGCAGGCGGAAUUCGUGGUGUAGCGGUGAAAUGCUUAGAUAUCACGAAGAACUCCGAUUGCGAAGGCAGCUUGCUGGCCCACGUCUGACACUAAUGCUCGAAAGUGCGGGUAUCGAACAGGAUUAGAUACCCUGGUAGUCCGCACAGUAAACGAUGAAUACUCGCUGUUUGCGAUAGAAUGUAAGCGGCCAAGCGAAAGCGUUAAGUAUUCCACCUGGGGAGUACGCCGGCAACGGUGAAACUCAAAGGAAUUGACGGGGGCCCGCACAAGCGGAGGAACAUGUGGUUUAAUUCGAUGAUACGCGAGGAACCUUACCCGGGCUUGAAUUGCAUACGACGUGCGCGGAGACGCGCAUUCCGCAGAGUGCGUAUGUGAAGGUGCUGCAUGGUUGUCGUCAGCUCGUGCCGUGAGGUGUCGGCUUAAGUGCCAUAACGAGCGCAACCCUCAUGGACAGUUGCCAUCAGGUUAUGCUGGGGACUCUGUUCAGACUGCCGUCGUAAGAUGCGAGGAAGGCGGGGAUGACGUCAAAUCAGCACGGCCCUUAUGUCUGGGGCUACACACGUGUUACAAUGGGGGGUACAGAGGGCCGCUGCCCGGCGACGGGCGGCCAAUCCCGAAAGCCCUUCUCAGUCCGGACUGGAGUCUGCAACCCGACUCCACGAAGCUGGAUUCGCUAGUAAUCGCGCAUCAGCCAUGGCGCGGUGAAUACGUUCCCGGGCCUUGUACACACCGCCCGUCAAGCCAUGAAAGCCGGGGGU
rnacentral:rRNA from 1 species